rnacentral:rRNA from 1 species
AUUGAACGCUGGCGGCAUGCCUUACACAUGCAAGUCGAACGGCAGCAUGAUCUAGCUUGCUCGAUUGAUGGCGAGUGGCGAACGGGUGAGUAAUACAUCGGAACGUGCCCUGUAGUGGGGGAUAACUAGUCGAAAGAUUAGCUAAUACCGCAUACGACCUGAGGGUGAAAGUGGGGGACCGCAAGGCCUAAUGCUAUAGGAGCGGCCGAUGUCUGAUUAGCUAGUUGGUGGGGUAAAGGCUCACCAAGGCGACGAUCAGUAGCUGGUCUGAGAGGACGAUCAGCCACACUGGGACUGAGACACGGCCCAGACUCCUACGGGAGGCAGCAGUGGGGAAUUUUGGACAAUGGGCGAAAGCCUGAUCCAGCAAUGCCGCGUGUGUGAAGAAGGCCUUCGGGUUGUAAAGCACUUUUGUCCGGAAAGAAAUGGCUCUGGUUAAUACCUGGGGUCGAUGACGGUACCGGAAGAAUAAGGACCGGCUAACUACGUG